AGAGUUUGAUCCUGGCUCAGCAGCGGCAUCACGCUGGGCUACUCGGUAACGGCGCUACUAUUGGCGGCGGUUAUUCUGCAACGAACUUGGCGGGACACGCCCGAAACCGUCGCCCUUCAAAGCUGGCGGGCUCGCUGGCAGCAGUGGUCUCGGGGCAGCGCCCAAUGGCGGCGGCGCAUGCGAGCGCUAUUGGACCAAGGCAAUCCAUUCUGCUGGCUGGCAGCGCGGGAUCGAUUACCGGGGCUCGUGGCCAAAGCUUUUGUUGGUUUGGUGGCGGCGCUGUGGCUAUCGGGUUUGAUCGCCUGGAGAAGCGCCUGGUUGAGCGCGACCAAUUCCUUCCUUACCUCGAUCGUGCUGCACCAGGGACUGAACUGGAUCCUGGCUCAUGCGGCGGCGCGGCGUUUUGGCGAGGAACGGCAAAACGGCGGACUAGAGCUGCUUUUGUCGACGCCGUUGUCUGUCGAAGCCAUGGUCGAUGGCCAGCGUAAGGCCCUGUUUCAUCAGUUUAAGGGGGUGUUGGCUGUGAUGCUCGCUUUCGACGGAGUCUUGUGCAUCUCUGGAGCGGUCGUGAAGGAAUGGGACGGGCCAGCUCUGGUGGCUUAUGUAGUGGCGUGGGGGGUGAUGCUGAUACUGUGGUUCGCGAAACAUCUGGAGACGGCUUUCAAGGCGAUGUGGAUUAGUGCAUGGACGGGGCGACCCGCCUACGCAGCGGCGCAGGUCAUUUGGCCGAUGCUGUGGCGGGUUGUCU
rnacentral:rRNA from 1 species